rnacentral:tRNA from 1 species
GGCCCCGUAGCUCAGGUGGAUAGAGCGACGGUUUCCUAAACGCAGGUCGCAAGUUCGAAUCUUGCCGGGGCCACCA